AAAAAAGAAUGGUAAAGUGGGGGCUCAGUGAUGGCCACGUGAACCCUAAGUGGUCUAGGAGCAUGUCAUGCUUAAAGGCUGUGGGCCGGAUACUUUGGUUCAGAGGGCUGGGUACUCACCGUCCAGUGACAGCCAGUCAAGUUGAGUACUAGGCAGAGACAGGAAUCGGCGGGCUCGAUACUCAAAGAGCACAGAAGCAGAAAGGGGCCCCUCCCGCCCUGCCACCUGCAAAGACACCAGCCCUACCUCAUGGGCUGGAGAGGGUAGGAUCAGCGAGAAGGGCUCUCUUUCCCUGGCUCCUUCUCUGGCUAGCUGUGUCAGCCACAGACAAUUAUUCCAUAGUUAUUUCCCCUACUGCCCUGCUGUGGGCCAAGAGGCCCCUGGCUUCAGUGGCCUUGGCACUAACUGGGAAGGGAGUCCAUUUGUUUGAGAACUUAAUACGUACUAUGGGCCAGAGAUCCCUUGGAUUCUAGACCCUGUAGUUGAAGAUAUUUGUUAUUCAGCAAGAAGGUUUGGAAACUGAGGGUCAAGAGACUAGUUAUGAACAAUUUGAUGUUGGAAAAUCCUCUUGAUCCCCGGAUCAGAGUCUGGAAGUUAUGACGCUGUUACUGAGAUGGAGGAAAGGGGAGCUAGCCGCUCAUGAACAGUGUCCAGUGGCCAUAAGCAUGGAACCAGCAGGCCCUGAUCCUAAGACCAGGUGCUGAAACUUUUUCUCCCAGUCCCCAGAUUCUCUGGUCUCAUCCCCUUUCCUUACACACAUGCUGGAUGCUGCUGUAGAGACUGGGGGAGAACACACUCGUAGACAGCAAAGCUGCCAACCUGUCACUUUGGUGGUCCUUGAGGUCCCCUAGUAAGGCUGAUUUUUAGUGACAAGAAUGUUCUAUAUCGUCACUAUCCAAUAGGGUAACACGAGCCAUGUGUGGCUACUGAACACUUGAAACGUGGUCAGUGAGACUGGGGAAGUGAAUUUUCAGUAUUCUUUAACUUUAAUUAAUAGGCACAUGUGGCUAAUGGCUACCAUACUGGACAGCACAGUUCUAAAAGCCAAUGUCCUUCAGUCCCAAGACUGGUUAGAGGAAACCCACAUUUCUUCUUUCUCAUUCCCCCUGGAUUGGAGUUGGAGACUCUGGCUCUAAGCCAGAAAGCCUGGACAGACAUUAGAAAUCCCUUUGGUCAAUGCCUAACCUUACAGGAGGGGAGGCCAAGGACCUCAGGAAGGAUCAGACUCAUCUGAGGUCACUGGUUAGCUAAGGAGUAGACUUCUUGGACCAGAACCUUGAUCUUCUGACACCUAAGUCUGGGCUCUUCUGCCUGCUGGGAGAGCUUGGGGCUCAACCUCAGGACUGGAUGAAGUCCUUGUGCUCUCAAAACAACCCAUUUGUUCCCAGUGCUUUCUGGAAGCCUGGAGUUCCUGAUCUGUCCUAACUGCCCACAUGUCAGUCCCUCCCCCUACGGUUCCCAAUCCUCAUACCGGGACAGUAGCAGCGUAAGACACCAGGCUGGACAAGUGAGGCUGGCACUGCGAUGUGAUCAAAGACACAGGAGUAAUGCUCGGCGGCUUCAGUCCAAGGACCUGUGAUGAGCACCUUGACCCCACCCUGCAGACAGAAGUCAGAGACCAUGUGACUGGAGUUGGGCAUUCAUCCCCUCAUUCAUUUAUUCAGACCCUUACAGGGUAUCUACUAUAUGGCAGGUCCUGUGCUAGAGUCUGGGGGUCCAGGGAUAGACAGGACCCAGUGGGGUGAGGUCAGUGAGUCUAUCUCUCCCCAACAUCCCUGCCAAGUGGUUGCCUGGUCUCUACCUGAAUCUGCCAGUAGCUGGGAAUUCAGGGCCUCCCCCAAAGCUACCACAGAGCUGUCACCAGAAGGAAGUUCUGUUCUUGGGCUAAUUCACCCCCACUGUACUUCCUCCUUUUCCUCUCAAAGGCAGCAUAAAACAGAACUUCUCCACUGCCGAAGACAGUCUUUCAGCUACUCAAAGUCUGCAAUCACAUCCCUGAUGUUUCUUUUCUUCUCCAGCCUGCACAGCCCCAAUUCCCUACCCCUGAAAACAGUCAGGAAGGGAAUGAGGUCCUAGGAGACUCCAGAAACCAUGCUAACACAUGGAAGGGAGAGGAACAGAAAAAAGGUUAAGUUGCUGAGGACUCUGGAAACAGGAAAGCAGCUUCACUCUACAUAAAAAAAGAGAUUGGCGGCUGGGCACGGUGGCUCACACCUGUAAUCCCAGCACUUUGGGAGGCCGAGGCAGGCAAUCACCUGAGGUCAGGAGUUUGAGACCAUCCUGGCCAACAUGGUGAAACCCCAUCUCUACUAAAAAUACAAAAGUUAGCCGGGCGUGGUGGCGGUCACCUGUAAUCCCAGCUACUCAGGAGGGUGAGGCAGGAGAAUCAUUUGAACCCGGGAGGUGGAGGUUGCAGUGAGCCAAGAUUGUGCCACUACACUCCAGCCUGGGCAACAAGAGCAAAACUGUCUCAAAAAAAAAAAAAAAAAAAAAAGAUUAGGUAGAGGACUAAGAAGCCUAAGAAGCCAUGAAAACUGAGGGAAACUAGGUCACGGACCACGGGGUAAGAGUUAACACAAUUUGUUUUGGGGAGUCAGAAGACAAAAAUAGGAGGGAGAAGGGAGGAGGUAAGCCUGAGUCUCACCUCUGGGUAGGACCACUCUGGGGAGAAGUCUGUGAUGGUGCUAAGAGCAGGAGACAGCUGGGGGGUCGGAGCAGGGAUGCUUGGAGCUUCGUCACUGAUGAGUUCUCCCAUAAGGUCUGGGAAUGAUGAAAGACUGAAGGGCUCCAGUUCACUGGCCCCAACAGGUCCUC
rnacentral:lncRNA from 1 species